GUGCCAGCAGCCGCGGUAAUACGGAGGGUGCAGCAUUACUCGGUAAUCACUGGGCGUAAAGCGCGCGCAGGCGGCCAUUUAAGUUGGAUGUGAAAGCCUACAGCUCAACUGUAGAGCUGCAUCCAAAACUAUUUGGCUAGAGUGUGGGGGAGGAAGAUGGAAUUAGUUGUGUAGGGGUAAAAUCCGUAGAGAUAACUAGGAAUACCAAAAGCGAAGGCAAUCUUCUGGAACAUUACUGACGAUGAGGCGCGAAAGCGUGGGGAGCAAACAGGAUUAGAUACCCUGGUAGUCCGCGCAGUAAACGAUGAAUGUUAGUCGUCGGGUAGCUAGUCUAUUCGGUGAUGCAGCUAACGCAUUAAACAUUCCGCCUGGGGAGUACGGUCGCAAGAUUAAAACUCAAAGGAAUAGACGGGGACCCGCACAAGUGGUGGAGCAUGUGGUUUAAUUCGAAGAUACGCGAAGAACCUUACCUAGCCUUGACAUAAUGGUGGUAGAGAACAGAAAGGGGAUCGACCCUCCGGGGAGCCAUUACAGGUGCUGCAUGGCUGUCGUCAGCUCGUGUCGUGAGAUGUUGGGUUAAGUCCCGCAACGAGCGCAACCCUCGUCACUAGUUACUAACGGUUCGGCCGAGGACUCUAGUGAGACUGCCUUCGCAAGGAGGAGGAAGGUGAGGACGACGUCAAGUCAUCAUGGCCCUUACGGCUAGGGCAACACACGUGCUACAAUGGUUGGGACAAUUAGACGCAAUACCGCGAGGUGGAGCAAAUCUAUAAACCCAAUCUCAGUUCGGAUUGUUCUCUGCAACUCGAGAACAUGAAGCUGGAAUCACUAGUAAUCGUAGAUCAGCAAUGCUACGGUGAAUACGUUCCCGGGUCUUGUACUCACCGCCCGUCACACCAUGGGAGUUGAUUUCACCCGAAGCGGGGAAGCUAAACUGGCUACCCUCCACGGUGGAAUCAACGACUGGGGUGAAGUCGUAACAAGGUAACC
rnacentral:rRNA from 1 species